rnacentral:rRNA from 1 species
CCUACGGGCGGCAGCAGUGGGGAAUAUUGGGCAAUGGGCGCAAGCCUGACCCAGCAAUGCCGCGUGAAGGAAGAAGGCCCUCGGGUUGUAAACUUCUUUUAUCAGGGACGAAGGAUGUGACGGUACCUGAGGAAUAAGCCACGGCUAACUACGUGCCAGCAGCCGCGGUAAUACGUAGGUAGCAAGCGUUAUCCGGAUUUAUUGGGUGUAAAGGGCGUGUAGGCGGGAUGGCAAGUCAGAUGUGAAAUCCAGGGGCUCAACCCCUGAACUGCAUUUGAAACUGUGGUUCUUGAGUGCUGGAGAGGUAGACGGAAUUCCUGGUGUAGCGGUGAAAUGCGUAGAUAUUAGGAGGAACACCAGUGGCGAAGGCGGUCAACUGGACAGCAACUGACGCUGAGGCGCGAAAGCGUGGGGAGCAAACAGGAUUAGAUACCCGGGUAGUC